GUCCGCGCGGUAAACUAUGGACGCUCGCGGUGCGGGAUAUUAUCUUACGCCGCCUAGCGAAAGCGUUAAGCGUCCCACCUGGGGGAGUACGCCGGCAACGGUGAAACUCAAAGGAAUUGACGGGGGCCCGCACAAGCGGAGGAACAUGUGGUUUAAUUCGAUGAUACGCGAGGAACCUUACCCGGGCUUGAAAUGUGCAUGACAGCGGACAGAGACGUCCGCUUCCUUCGGGCAUGCAUGUAGGUGCUGCAUGGUUGUCGU
rnacentral:rRNA from 1 species